rnacentral:rRNA from 1 species
UGGGGAAUAUUGCACAAUGGGGGAAACCCUGAUGCAGCGACGCCGCGUGGAGGAAGAAGGUCUUCGGAUUGUAAACUCCUGUUGUUGGGGAAGAUAAUGACGGUACCCAACAAGGAAGUGACGGCUAACUACGUGCCAGCAGCCGCGGUAAAACGUAGGUCACAAGCGUUGUCCGGAAUUACUGGGUGUAAAGGGAGCGCAGGCGGGAAGACAAGUUGGAAGUGAAAUCUAUGGGCUCAACCCAUAAACUGCUUUCAAAACUGUUUUUCUUGAGUAGUGCAGAGGUAGGCGGAAUUCCCGGUGUAGCGGUGGAAUGCGUAGAUAUCGGGAGGAACACCAGUGGCGAAGGCGGCCUACUGGGCACCAACUGACGCUGAGGCUCGAAAGUGUGGGUAGCAAACAGGAUUAGAUACCCUGGUAGUCCACACCGUAAACGAUGAUUACUAGGUGUUGGAGGAUUGACCCCUUCAGUGCCGCAGUUAACACAAUAAGUAAUCCACCUGGGGAGUACGACCGCAAGGUUGAAACUCAAAGGAAUUGACGGGGGCCCGCACAAGCAGUGGAGUAUGUGGUUUAAUUCGACGCAACGCGAAGAACCUUACCAAGUCUUGACAUCCCUUGACAGACAUAGAAAUAUGUAUUCUCUUCGGAGCAAGGAGACAGGUGGUGCAUGGUUGUCGUCAGCUCGUGUCGUGAGAUGUUGGGUUAAGUCCCGCAACGAGCGCAACCCUUAUGGUCAGUUACUACGCAAGAGGACUCUGGCCAGACUGCCGUUGACAAAACGGAGGAAGGCGGGGACGACGUCAAAUCAUCAUGCCCCUUAUGUCCCGGGCUACACACGUAAUACAAUGGCGGUCAACAGAGGGAAGCAAAGCCGCGAGGCAGAGCAAAUCCCCAAAAGCCGUCUCAGUUCGGAUUGCAGGCUGCAACUCGCCUGCAUGAAGUUGGAAUUGCUAGUAAUCGUAGAUCAGCAUGCUACGGUGAAUACGUUCCC